rnacentral:snRNA from 1 species
CUCGUGUGGAACAAAAGGG